rnacentral:lncRNA from 1 species
GUCCUGGUGCAUCUCAUCCACAGCCAACAGGGACACCUGGUCACCAGGGACAGAAGAAGUCCCACAGAAAGAUCAUCCCAGGCAGGACCUUGUAUGUGCCUGAUGACUUGGAGGAAUCUCUCCCUCUCUCUGGACCUCAGUUUCCCUGCCUGUGAAAUGGGGAGAUGGGUGCCUGCCUGCAGCCUCAAAGAUUGAGGCUGGAGUGCAGUGGCACGAUCUCAACUCACCACAACCUCCGCCUCCCGGGUUCAAGCGAUUCUCCUGCCUCAGCCUCCCGAGUAGCUGGGAUUACAGGUGUGCGCCACCACGCCUGGCUGCUUUCUACCCGUGAGACCUUCCUUUCCUGACACUGCAUCCUCGUCUCAGGCAGCUGCUGGCCAUGACCCCUCUGGCCAUGCCUCCAGCCCAGCAGGGCCCUGGAGAGGCCCACCUUCAGCCAGCCAACAUAGAAGAAGAACUGCAGGAACGUGAAGACGGGCACAACGAGGUCCAGCUCAUGGCCAGGGUAGGCCUUGGCUGGGUUCAGAAACUGCCGCCCAACUAGACAAGUCAGGAAGAAGCUGUACACCGCCACAGUCACCACCUGGGAGGAGGAGGAGGAUGUGGUAGCAAAGGGCUAGGUGGGAACCCUGAAAUCAGGAUGCUCCAGGGGCUGGGAGUCUGAGACAGGAGACCAAGGCCUUGUUCUGACUUGCACACUUAUGUGACUUAGGGGCUCUGUUAACCCCUUUGUUUGUUUGUUUGUUUGUUUGUUUGAGACAGAGUCUUGCUGUGUCGCCCAGGCUGGAGUGCAGUGGCAUGAUCUCAGCUCACUGCAACCUCCACCUCCCGGGUUCAAGCGAUUCUCCUGCCUCAGCCUCCCAAGUAGCUGGGAUUACAGGCGUGCACCACCACACAGCUAAUUCUGUAUUUUCAGUAGAGAUGGGGUUUCACCAUGUUGGCCAGGCUGGUCUCGAACUCCUGACCUCAGGUGAUCCACCUGCCUCAGCUUCCCAAAGUGCUGGGAUUACAGGCAUGAGCCACUGCACCCGGCCAACCUCUCUUUAAUAUGGGGAUAAUCACAUUGCCUCUACUGGACUGGGCCAGGCAGGAGCCUGGACUCUUAGAACUUGGCACUUCAAAGUCCAGACCCAACUUCAAAGUGUGGACCCAACUCCCAGGGGAGCCACUUAGCCUCUAGGUGAGCCCUUCCCACCCCAGCUGCUUCCUUGGUCCUUCUAGCCUCAGUUUCCCAAAAGGGCAGCCUCACCAGCCUAGUCCUCACCUGUGUAUACACCAGUGGGAUACUAAUCCAGUCGUAGGCAUACAGGUGUCCACACUGAGUACGCAAGGUGUUCAUCUCCUGGGGGGCAGAAGAGGGGGAUGGGGUUCUGAACACCACCUGCCCCCACCCUGGGCUCGCCCCCACCUCUUCUCCAGGUACCAGGGCCUGGUACCUAUGGUCCAUUCCUGGCUGUGUGGCCAUGGGAAGCUCACUAAACCUCUUUGUGUCUCA